rnacentral:rRNA from 1 species
GGGGACUCUGGAGAGACUGCCCGGGACGACCGGGAGGAAGGCGGGGAUGACGUCAAAUCAUCAUGCCCCUUAUGUCUUGGGCUACACACGUGCUACAAUGGGCGGUACAAACCGAAGCGAAAUCGCGAGAUGGAGCGAACCGGAGAAAGCCGUUCACAGUUCGGAUUGCAGGCUGCAACUCGCCUGCAUGAAGGCGGAAUCGCUAGUAAUCGCAGGUCAGCAUACUGCGGUGAAUACGUUCCCGGGCCUUGUACACACCGCCCGUCACACCACGAAAGUCGGCAACACCCGAAGUCGGUGAGCUAACCUAACGGAGGCAGCCGCCGAAGGUGGGGUCGAUGAUUGGGGUGAAGUCGUAACAAGGUAGCCGUAUCGGAAGGUGCGGCUGGAUCACCUCCUUUCU